GCCGUCCUAGCUCAAUUGGCAGAGCAGUGGUUUUGUAAACCACAGGUGGGUCGGCGGAGAGCUGCUCAGUCGGGCGAUGCUCAUUACAAUCAAGCGACCCGCGAUUUGACCAUCACCGUCGCAACGGCA
rnacentral:tRNA from 1 species